rnacentral:rRNA from 1 species
UACGGGGGGGGCGAGCGUUGUUCGGAAUUACUGGGCGUAAAGGGUUUGUAGGUGGUCUGCUAAGUCAGACGUGAAAUCCCUCGGCUUAACCGGGGAACUGCGUCUGAUACUGGAUGGCUUGAGAUUGGGAGAGGGAUGCGGAAUUCCAGGUGUAGCGGUGAAAUGCGUAGAUAUCAGGAGGAACACCGGUGGCGAAGGCGGUUCUCUGGGCAUUACCUGACGCUGAGGAGCGAAAGCGUGGGGAGCAAACAGG